GAUAGGGUUACAUCCCUUAUUUCAAAGCAUGUUGGAGUCAUCAUCAUCCGGCAAGACCAGCCAUGUCGAAGCUCAGGUGUUCGCCAAAUUGAUGGGCUCGGAGCGUUAUGGUCGACUGAGGGGUUAUGGCGUUGGAGUUACUCCCACUCAAUUGUCUGCAGUGAACAGAUAUACCCAAAAAGUCAGACAAAGUAGCAGCACUACAGAGAUUUGUAGUCUAUUUGUAGUCUGAAGGCAGCGAUGGAGAAGAUGAGGUAGAGCUAUUAGACUGAGAUGGAGAAGAUGAGGUAGAGCUAUCAAAUAGAGAUACAAUCUUUGAGGGCUCAGCUUGACCAGAUUGCAUCUAUGUUGCAUAGGUUCAUGAUACUUUCUUUACUCGUAGGGAUAAUAAUGAUGGUAAUGCCAUCGACCCCUAAUAGCUCUUAGACUAUUUAUUUAAGAGUUUUAUAUGUAUAUUUUUUAUAUUUUUUGAAGCACAUUGUAAAUGUAAAUGGAUAAUAUAAAUGUAAUCAUAUUUGACAAUAUGAAUAUUUCGAAC